rnacentral:pre_miRNA from 1 species
AGACAUCAGAUACCUUGUAGAAGUUGUACACGGAUUUGAGCAAAGUGGUCUUUCCGACCCCGGCCAUUCCAUACACCCCAAUUGUGCGAGGUUCUGAAGCCU